UAGAUUCAUUGCGAAAAAUUAUACCCAUCUCUAAAAAGAUUUUGCAAAUAGACUUCAUUUAGCACUCCAUGCAUGCGAGAUUCUUUUUUCGGCUUGUGUGCGCUAGGAACCCCUAGCGCGAACCAAACAAGGCCACUACCUAUUGCCUACCACCCUGCUGCCUCAGCUCAACUCUGCUGCUGCCGCUCCGCCUGCUGCUGCCGCCCUGCCGCGAGCUUGCUUCCUCGCCCACACGCGCGCGCGACGGCCUGGUGCGGCGCUUGCGCCCGCAAGGCUGGGCUGUGCGCGCCUGCCGUCUUGUGCCGGCCUUAUCGCACGCCGGCCUGCCUCCGCUCUUGAUCGCGUUCGCCUAGAUCCGGCGCCUCCGUCUCCUAGGGUUAGGAAGAGGAUCGCUAAAUCUGUGGAAUGGGAAGAGAGAGAUAUAAAGUUUGGGUUAAGGGUAUGAACGUUUUUUCCAGUGCUCUCAAUUUUUCUCUGAUUUAUUUUAAUUAUUUUACUGGACAUACGCAUAACGGUGUGAAAAAGAGGGGCAAACGGAGUCUUCGUUUCAAUAAAGUAGGGGUAAAGUCGCAUAAAUCAAAAAAUGAGGAUGAAAUCAUCAUUAGGGAUUGGGCAAGAGCGCCAAAUUCCCAAUAAAUAUCUAAUAGGACUCUAGGGGUAAAGAUGAAUUUUUUCACAUGAAAUGAUAACAUCUUUAAAUAGAUUUUUUUUUUUGAAAUUUCAAAAUAUGAGGAUGAAAUCAUCAUUAGGGAUUGGGCAAGAGCACCAAAUUCCCAAUAAAUAUCUAAUAGGACUCUAGGGGUAAAGAUGAAUUUUUUCACAUGAAAUGAUAACAUCUUUAAAUAGAUUUUUUUUUUGAAAUUUCAAAAUAGUUUCCAAACCUUUGCUCGAAUAAACUUGAGCCUGAAACAAAAAGUUUAGAUCUUGAAAAGCUGAACAAUUUUGGUAUUCAAAAGUUUUUAUUUUGACCUCAGGAAAUAGGAGAAUUUUUUUUGUUUUUACACCCAGGCCCCUAAGCUCCUUUUAAUUCUUGCACCUAGCCCCUCCUCCCUACUGCAGCAGCAGUAAUGGCCGCUGGCCACCUGGCCAUCGCCAAAGCCCUUGCUCGACAAACCGCGGCGUAGUGGGCCCCUUGCGCCCCCGGUUCUGCCGAACCCAACCCCCCUAGCGCUGCACGGCCUCGCCACGCGCCCCCUCCUGUCCGAGCGCCACGAACGCCGGCAAGGCGAGCUCCCGCCGCGCCACUGCUCCUCAGCCCCGGCCAGCCACCCUUAGCCCCUAAGCCACCUCGCCCUUCGCUGCAGUCCCUCCGUCCCUCGUGCCUAUAAAAGGCCAACCUGAGCCCCUGCCAUCGCAGUAUCGCACACGCCAGGUCUGCUCCCGCCAGCCUCCAUUGCCGCUACCUGCAGUUCUUCCACGCCGAGCUCCUCCCUCCACCCUACCCCGGCGCAAUUUUUUCUUGAAAUGUUUGUGCUUGUAGCUGGCGAUGGAGUUUAUCUGUGCGAGGGAAACCAUAUUAGCUCUGAUGAUGCUGGAGGGGCUGGAGCUCUGAGCUCCUUGCAGCGGGUCACUGUGGACGGACAUGGACCUCCAGGGCCUGUUGCUUCGAAAGGGGAUUAGUUGAUUUGUCUCUGCCGUUUGUAGUUUGUACAGUGUGAAUAUCAUUAUGACAGAUUUGAUAGGAUCCUUAGUUCCUUACAACUCUUUGUGCCUUUACUGUUUUCAUGUAUGAAAAUAAAUGAAUUUCAAUAGAAAAUGCUCUUCCUGUUGAUGAUCAUGUAAGACGGCCAACUCUUCGUAAAAUGAAGCAUUUCUCAAA